rnacentral:rRNA from 1 species
AGUGAACGCUGGCGGUAGGCCUAACACAUGCAAGUCGAACGGCAGCACAGUAAUAGCUUGCUCUUACGGGUGGCGAGUGGCGGACGGGUGAGGAAUACAUCGGAAUCUACUUUUUCGUGGGGGAUAACGUAGGGAAACUUACGCUAAUACCGCAUACGACCUACGGGUGAAAGCAGGGGAUCUUCGGACCUUGCGCGAUUGAAUGAGCCGAUGUCGGAUUAGCUAGUUGGCGGGGUAAAGGCCCACGAAGGCGACGAUCCGUAGCUGGUCUGAGAGGAUGAUCAGCCACACUGGAACUAAGACACGGUCCAGACUCCUACGGGGGGCAGCAGUGGGGAAUAUUGGACAAUGGGCGCAAGCCUGAUCCAGCCAUACCGCGUGGGUGAAGAAGGCCUUCGGGUUGUAAAGCCCUUUUGUUGGGAAAGAAAAGCAGCAGGUUAAUACCCCGCUGUUCUGACGGUACCCAAAGAAUAAGCACCGGCUAACUUCGUG